rnacentral:rRNA from 1 species
GUAACCUGCGGAGGAUCAUUACUGAACUGUCGACACGAGUUGUUGCUGGUCCUCGAAAGGGGGCAUGUGCACGCUCUGUUUACACAUCCACUCACACCAUGUGCACCCUCUGUAGUUCUGUGGCACUGGGGACUCUGUCCUCUUGCUGUGGUCCUACGUCUUUACACACACACCGUAAUACAGUCUCAUGGAAUGUAUGUCGCGUUUAACGCAAUACAAUACAACUUUCAGCAACGGAUCUCUUGGCUCUCGCAUCGAUGAAGAACGCAGCGAAAUGCGAUAAGUAAUGUGAAUUGCAGAAUUCAGUGAAUCAUCGAAUCUUUGAACGCACCUUGCGCCCUUUGGCUAUUCCGAAGGGCAUGCCUGUUUGAGUAUCAUGAACACCUCAACUCUCAUGGCCUGCCAUGAUGAGCUUGGAUUUUGGGGGUCUUGCCGGCCUAACCGUCGGCUCCUCUCAAAUGAAUCAGCUUGCCAGUGUUUGGUGGCAUCACAGGUGUGAUAACUAUCUACGCUUGUGGUUCUCCACCAGGUGACCUUCAGCAAUGGAGGUUCGCUGGAGCUCACAGACGUCUCUCCUCAGGGAAGACAGCUUUUUGAACGUUUGAUCUCAAAUCAGGUAGGACUACCCGCUGAACUUA